ACAGUUCUUGCAUAUUCUGCGAUUUUUUAACUACUUUACCGAUUCUUGAUGCAAGUCUAGUGGUGGUGCCUUGUCUACACGGUCGGAGCUCCGUAUAUAAAUCUUGUGCAAAUUAUUCCCUUUCAGAAAUACGUAGUUUUUUAAUAGACGAUAAAGUAUGAAUUAGAGAGAGUUGAACGUUUCCUAAAGGCCACAUGUAACGCCCCUGUUCUAUUCAGCACCGAGAUGUGCUUGGGCCACCAUGUUGACGAUUGUUGAUUUCAAGCACUUGCAUGAAUGUAUUUGCAGGGGAAACACUGUGCUGAAUAAGAUUCGAAUCAAAGACCUGCUGUCGAAUAAAAAAAGUUUUUUGUCAGAAUUUGCGAUCCCACGUGGAGCACUGAUGAAGAGCACAGGAGGAGGGCAAAUUUAAGUUUUGUUUUGUAAUUGUAACUACCUGAAUUCAAAGACAAACAACGAUUAUUGUGUAGCGUUGACUCAAAAGGUACAAAAGGCGAUUGCAUGCAAAGUCCUUUUUUUACCUCGAAAAGCUGAUAUUUUAUAGGAUAUAGCAAGGAGAGAGGCUGCUCUGGAAAAACAAGAAAGUCACUGGACUUCCUCCAGGGUUAAGCAGGUCCAGUUUCAUACUUUCAUAUGUUCCCAGCUACGGUUUAUAGGGAUAGGAAUAUCCCACAGCCAGGAUCAAUGGCGGACUGGCCCACCGGACCACCGUCCCACCGGACCACCGUCCCACCGUCCCACUGUCCCACUGUCCCACCGUCCCACCGUCCCACCGUCCCAUAGUCCCACCGGCUCCUUUAAAGUUUGCCAAAAGGGUCCCAUCUUUGCAAAAAAUGGCCCAAUCUUAGGAAUGUGGGGCCUUAAGAUAUCCCAUUACGAAUAGACGUCAAUAACACAUAUGGUCAUAAAAUGGAUUGGGUCGAAGCUAAAUAAAGAAUGACUUUUUUAGCUUAUGAGAGGUUAAUAGAGAUUUGGAAUUUUUAAUAUGAUAGAUUUUUCUGAAAUUUUUUAUUUUUCAUUGACCCAAGUUCAGUUAACCUGUACGGCAUCAGCUGUAGAGUUCAAUCAAAUUUAUGCCAGUUAGCAAAAGGUAAGGAGUGAUUCAGUAACAAACUCGGCGUUAACUUUUUCUUGUCCAUUAAGAUAAUGCGAUGCGAAUGAUACUUCGACGGGGGUUGCUUCGUCGUCUUCUACACGAUUAAUCGACUACUUCAUAAAGAAGGUUAUGUCGAUGUAAAUGAAAAAAGAAGUUAAGAAAUAAAGGAAAAGCGGAAACACAUAGAACAGCAGCACAUGCCAAGAUGAAAUUUGUAGCAUGAAAAAUUUGAGGCGUAUGACCAGGGCCGUGAAUCCCGGGGGGGGGACAGGGGGACUGGAGGCCCCCCUAAAAUAUCUGGAGCAAAACGAUUUUGCUUGAAAAAUUAUCGUCAUUUUUUUUAAGGAAGGAAUCCCUGGUAGCUGGGUUAGAACCAAACUAAGUUUUCUAGGUUAUUGCAACAAACGUCAGCCACUAUUUAUGUCAUGGUGGCAAGUGCAAGUUGACUAUUGUUGAUGGCUGUUAUUUAUGUUUGCAGAGUGGUGUCAAGUCGGUGACGGUGCCCAUGGGGGGAUUAGCCCCAAAUAUUUUGUCCAACAGUCACCCCUUGAAAAAAUCUCAAAAAGAUGUAAAAAAAGAAUCGUUUAAGUAGCCAUAAAUCUCGAUCAAUCCACAUUACACAAAAAUUCUGAGUUUUGCUUUUAACGGUAGCUAGGAACAAGGCAAAAAGGCAAAGAGGGCAAGAAAAAAAUAUAAUUUGCGUAAAAGUACCACGUCGAUAAAGAAGUACCUUUGCAUUUAAUAAAGAGAGAGGCAAGGACUACACUUUUUAUUAUAGAAUUGCAAUAAAUUUUGCCCAGCCUCGAUUUUUCUAAGAAAAGUUUCGCUUUGAGCCCGAAUAUGUUCUUAGAUAUAUCCCUAUUUUUUCGAAUCCGAUAUGGUUUCAAAAAAAAAUCGCUUGCUCUCGAAUAGAAAACAGUUGCGAAUAUUGUGAAAAAAGCAACUUCUGAAAAAUGUGCCCUCUACGUCAAAGGUCACCUUUUCUUUCUUUCCCCAACGUCUGUCAGUAGAGUUUAAGCGUGACUCUUCCCCUCCCCAAUUUCUUCCAAAGACAAUAAUCUGUAUUUUUCUAAGAAACGUCGUCUUGUCUAUCCUGAACGGUAUAGUAUUUUGUUAAACUUGGUAUAGGAAAUGCUAUUUUGGCCUUUCUAGAACGUCUGAUUGCAAAAAUAUUCUUCCACGUCGGACCCAACCAUGGUGGGUCAUCAUACGUCACUAAACUUGAUUCUCAGCCCCCCAGAAUUUAUUUCUUUCCCCUGUCUCUGAAAAUUUUAUCAAUUUAAUUAUAAAACAGUCAAAAUUCUCAGAAAUAUCUGUAAAUACCUUUUAUAGAGUUGAAAAAAUCUUACCAAAUCUUAAAGUCUUCAUUUUUGUUUUAUAUAAUACCUAUCUGUUUUGUUACUGCCAUAAGCAGCUGCACACUUAAAAUUCAUUCGCUCUGCUGACCCUACCUCCCCCGCCCCAAUUGACAGGAGAGAUUUACGGCCCUGCGUAUGACAUAUCAGAGCUCAACAUAUCAUACCCUGGGUGCCAGAGCCGCAGAGAGUCAAAGGAUGAAGAACGGGGGAAGGAAUUGCGAAGGAGAAUGAAAGAGGAAAGGGGACCUUAUCAAGAGGGAAAAUGAAACUUCUGAUAACAUUUGAUUGAAAUUGUUUUCGAAAUGAUAAACCUAAAAGUUUUGUGAAAAAUAUAGUUUGUAAGCAACCAAUUUAGCGAAUGAUUACCAAAAAUUAAAGGGAACCUUCUUGCUAUAAUUUAGCUAUAAUAUCACGAUUAAGAUAUCAAAUUUUCGUAUAUAGAAAUGAUUCGCUUUAGAUUUAUUUGUCGCUAAACAGGUUUUCCAAUUUGAAUUUUUGAUAGAAAUUUGUACAAUCCAAUAGACGUUCAAUGUAUUCCGCAUGUGAGCCACAACUUCUACAAAACGAAUCGUUGUACCGUCCUUUUUAGUUUGCAUUUUUUUAGGUCUGCCAUCUUUAGUUUAAGUUUCAGUAAGGAUGAGGCUUGAUCUAUACAUGUUUUGGCCCCCACAACAAAAACCUCAACUUUUUCAUCUGAUGCCGUCUGAUACUUCCAUAACUUGAUGAACAGAGCCAAAAUAACAGUGAUUCGUCAACAAGCUUAAGAUCUUUUAUCGGCAAUGUCUCAACUGAUUUUGAUAUAUUUGAAUAAAUUUGGAUGUAUUUCAUGGUGAUCUUUUAUUUGUACGGAAGAUGAAUCAUGCCCGUCUUCCAGACAUGCACUAGCCCCCGUCUCAAGGUCAUUGCACAUGCGCAUUGUCACUCGAAGCCCUGGCGGGAAGUUCUUGAGUUGUGUGGCCCCAGACAGAACAGCUGUGCGAAUUCUGUUAUUAAUGCGCAUGUGCUAUAACCCUGCAACACUAAUUGGUUUAAGACGGACUGAUUCAAAAAUUCCAUAAAUUGGUAUUGGGGCGUCAUACUUUAGAACUCUAUUGUCUCAUAGUUUUGCAUUCUUUUGAUAGCUAAGUGGAUAACCAAUGAAAGCUAAUUUGAUUUUUUUGGGCCAGUGGUUUUCAUAUGACGCUCGCGUUAUCCUUUUUUCUGCCAAUGUUGUCGCACAAUGGCAAUAAAUGUCACGGUGUCUAGAGAAAACUGGAUUAGGCGAGAAUUGACUUCAUCCAAAAACUUUCAUAAGCUUGAUUUCACAAGAAAAUUUAUGAUUUUUUCUUUCCACUUCUAUGUAUUUCAAAAACUUGAUCCCGAAAGGGGACUUGCCUCGUUAAGGUCGUUACUCAGAGUUUCGGGCAAGUUCCUCAAGAGUUUUAACAACCUGACGUGGUUUUCGUUUUAACAUCCAAAUGACAGGUCAAAAUUUGUCCGAAAAUUUAUUUGUCCGAACUGCCAAAAACAUGUUCGAAAGUAUUUUUGCCGAAGUUAAUUGUCAGAAAUCUCAUCCACUGAAAAAUUUUGUCCUCGUAUAAGUUAACGCAUGCGCUUGAAGAGAAUCAACAGACAUAUAUACCAAUGUUUUAAAAGGUAUUUCAAAUUCAAUUUGUUUUGGCAUUGAACUUUAUCCAAAUACAAAAUUGCAUGGGAUGUCUGGUGACAAAAGGGAAUAGGUUAGCUAGUUUUAUAUCUGUUCAUUUCUUUUAAAGUGUUUUUUCUACAUUAUCCUCCUCAAUAUUGCACUACUUUCACAUCUACCAUUCUUGCCGAAAGUCCUUAGAACACCCUUCUGCAGUCAAUGAAAGAUUUUGAUGAAAUAAAGGUUUCCGGCCGUAAGAUACAGAAAUAUCCCCCCCUCUCCCCCAAAACGAUGUUGGUUGCAAAGCCUAUUACUUACCCUAGCUGAUAAAGUGACAUUGGAUGAAUUUCAAGCUUUGAAACUGUUGUUAUUCAACAUCGUUUCAAGGGAGAGAGGGGGAUGCGAUACUGAAGUAAUGCGAUAUUUUAGCUUAGUGUACCAAGACUUUUGGCAACCAUUGUACAUAGGCUGGACAGAAGGGCCAUUUUAUGUUGUCUUACUUCAGAGGCAAUCCAAAGUCUAAAGAAAAGAGGAAAUGAUAACCUUGAUCACUGAAGCCACAGAAUUAGAAAAAUUAUUGUUAUUCUGUUAUUCCUAUUCUGUGGUCUAGAUGUUUUUUAGGAUCUACAAUCGUUCACUAAAAUUGCGAGACUGCAUUGAUUCCCCCCUUCCUUCCCCCUUUCCCAAUAAUGCGAUGUUAUUAGUGUGGUUUUCUUAAGAUGAAAAUGGCGAUCUUAGUUUCAAAACAACAAAGCUUUCGUGGGGAGAGGCAUUACGAUUAAUGCCUUUUUAGUGGGAUACAAAAUGUUUUCAAAGAAAACAUUGGGAAAGAAAUCAAUGCCCUCUGUUGUGAGGAUUGUAAGACGUGGACUUUCUAACAGCAAGGUGGAAACAACACAAAUUGAGGCCCAAACCCCUCAUACCCCCUCAACCCUCUUUGCCCUCAGCCUUGGCUCUAGGUAUUAAAGAAAUGUAUAUAUUUCAUCUAUUUGAUAACAUACAUAACACGAUGAUUGUUAAAAAAAUAUCUUCAUUAUUAUUAACUUUAUUUAGGAUUAUGAUGUAGGUGUUCAUUUUUGAAAUGGUUGAAAUUCCUGUAUCUUAAAAUCAGAUGUCCUUGAAAAGCUGUAGCUGUUGUGAGGAUUGUAAGACGUGGGCUGCAAUGAUGAGCUUGAACUUAGUUUUAUCUCAUUUUCAUAAACAUAGCAACUAUUUACAUUAUAAAAGCAAUAACUCAAAACUCUGUUGUAAACUCCAUAACUUGCGAACUCGACUCGACUCAACUCGUAAACUCAACUAACUCAAAACUGCCACAUCUCGCAUUAGCACGAAAACGAGGUUGUGACGUACGCAUUAUAACACAUUUCCCCGGUUUGAUUCGUGACAUGAUCAAACCCAAAGUAACUAAAGAUAUUAGCAUUGAAUUAACUUGAUUACAUAUAACAAAAUCAGAACAAUAACAAAGUUAAAGAUUAUAUGCUGCAAAAACGUUAAUGCAUAAUUUGUCUUCGAACUGUCUCUCCCAAAACUGUGCUCUACGUCUAGGUCUACUGUUUAUAAAUAUACUAAAAUGCGUGCGGUACAAUAUGAUGAAUAAGUAACAAUCAAUGUAAGUAAAUUGUACCAGGAAAUUUUUUUAAAAUAAUUAACGACGUUUCGAGCAUAGCCCGUUAUCAAGUCUUGCCUACUGUUUGCCUUCUUAAGUAACUGCGUACGCUGCUGCGAAGGCGAUUGCGCUGCUGGCUGCAAUGGCAACUGCGUAGGAGGAUUUUGAAAAGAAUCCGUCAAAUGGUUAGGUUUUACUUUUAAAGGUAUUAGUAAUGGGCGACGUAAAGUCUUCAUACCUAUUUUGCCAUCGUCUGAUCCUAGUCGGAUAACCGCUGAUCUUACCACCUCGUCUUUACCUACUAUGAGCUCUUCUACGCGGCAGAUUUUCCAAAAACUCCUUUUCUUGCUCUCAUCCUUCAAUAAAACUACAUCUCCAAUUGCAACAUUUGGCUUCGAUUGAUUUUUUGUUGGUCUGUAUUCUUCCAUUAACCCUUAUAAAUACUCGUUUCUCCAUCUCCGUGUAAACUGACCUAAAAGAAGUCUAUUAUAUCUUGCACGUUUAGACAAAGUUUCGUAAACACUAACAAUUUCUAGGUAUCUGCUUGAUUGAGGCAAAUGCAACAAAUUUCUUCAGUUUAUAAGAUGUGAGGGGGUCAAUAGAUACGAGAUUCCCUCGGUAUCGUCGUGUACGUAAGUUAAGGGGCGUGAAUUGAUAACACCCUCAACCUCUACUUAUAUUGUACGCAUUUCGUGAUAGUCUAAUAGGGCUCGACCAAUGACUUUUAUGAUACAGCUCUUAACACUUCUAAUUAACUUUUUUUCCGUUAUAAGUUUCCACUCAACACAUCUCAGAGACAAGGACUCGUAAAACCUGGGUGAUCUUAGUAACUUCUUAACCUCUAAACUUGCUGACCUAAAUGUUUUGGCAUUAUCACUCCAAAGGAUAGAAGGUAACCCUCUACGUCCGCAAAAUCUUCGGAAUGCUUUAAAAAAACGCAUUAACCUCUAAUGACUCUACUAAUUCAAGAUGAAUCGCUUUUGAAGACAUACUGGUGAACAAACAAACAUAACACUUUUUAGUGUCUCCUGGUUGUAGCUGUGAUAAGAGAAACCUUAAAAAAUUAGCUGUUUGCUAGCAAAAGAGGCUGUGAAUGUUUUGGAAAGGGCAUACUGUAGUUAAAGAGAGGAUUUGUAUGUGAACGACAUAUUUUGCAGAUUAAAAGAGGAUGGACCUAAAAGGUAGAUUUUGGCAUGAGCAGAAACCAUGGACCACAAACCUGAGAUGAUAACAUUAAUUCUUUUGGCUUAAGUCAAAUCUUGAGAGCAGUUAAUCCAUAGUUUCAGCUGAUGAAAUGUUUCUGAUGACCAAAGUGUCAGGCACAAAGGCACACAUUUUUAUGUAACCUACCAGUUUUUGAGCAGAUAUGCAGUGUCUAGGGGGCGCUCAAAAACUGGUCUCGUUGCUUAAAAAUCGGUUUGGUAUUCCUAGAUGAAGCUAGGAAGAAAAAUCACCAUAACUAAAAUUCGUUUAUGCAAAUUAACCCCAAACAAAAGGUCCCCACCGCCCGGCGAUUAAGAGGGAUUCCAGCCAAAACCGCUCGGCCGAUUUUCAAAAUUCCUUUUUCCCCUUCAUCCUCGAUCUUUGGUUCACCAUACUACGGUCUCCUUUUUCUCCUUUUCGCUUCCGUUCCUGAGAUAUUUACGGUUUUCUCUCGGGUUCGUUCGAAAUCCUCUCGAUCACGAUUAGUGCUCUCCGCGGUCUUUGUCCCGCCUUUCUAAAGGUUCUUUCUCUCUCUUUUCUCUUGCUCUCUACAAAAGGUUUCAAAACUCCUUCCAACAGCAACCCUUCAAUUUGAACGGAGGCUUUUCAAAUUCGUUUCGCUUUCCACAAAGAAUCUACUGUGUGCCGAUAAUUUAGGUGAUUUGGAAUUGGAUGAUAAAUCUACGUGCACUGCUGGUUGGCAUUCCUUUUCGAACUCGAAGCGGUCGUCGACGGUCGGUGUCUUGUGCUACAGCUACAGCUCCAGUAGUCAAUCGUGCUGGGUGCUCUCGACAGACCUCAGUAGCUACGUACGUACGGUACGCACACUGCUGCCCGUUUUUCGGUUCUGCGAUGGCUGCUGGCUGUUCCCCUUCUUCACUGGCAUCAGAAUCGAUGGCAUGUGAAUACAGAUAAACGAUCGGAUUCGCUGACUUUUUGGUUCAACAAAUCAAAGAUCGUUUCAAGCAAUAAUUAUGACCCAGACGUGAUUCUUGACUGUGGAGAAAAGGACUAAAGUUAUAUAGAUUAGCUGUUGUCCGUAAAUUGUAUUUUGUUAAUUUGUUGUUGGAGUAAGAAUCAUUUCUGAUGCACGAAACUUUGGCUGUUUUCUAUCUUUCCAUUUCUUAAGUGCUUUGUUGCUGCAGUGUUUCAAAAGCUAAUUAUGACGAAGAUAUGAUAUGUGGACCUCAAAUGUAUAGAACUGCGUAAUAACUUUAUAACUCUUUGGGGUUUAGAAGAGGUGUUUGAUUCAGAAUAAACAGGGAGCUUUGAGGGUGGCCCUCAAUUAUGUCUAAAAACAGCAUCACAAGUGAACAAAGAUUGAACGAAGUGCUUUAAAA